GGAGGAAACUGAAGAGAAAACAGGGUUGGAGCAUAUUGUAUUCGGCAUUGCAGCUUCUGCGAAGCUGUGGGAUAAACGGAAGGAUUAUAUAAAGUUAUGGUGGAAACCGGAGGAAGAAAUGAGAGGGAUUGUAUGGUUAGAUAAACCGGUGAAAACUUCGAAAGGUGACGGAGAAUCUCUGCCGGAGCUGAGAAUUUCCGGUGAUACUUCCCGGUUUGCUUAUAAAAACCGGCAGGGUCAUCGGUCUGCAAUACGGAUAUCGAGGAUUGUAUCGGAGACGUUGAGGUUGGGGAUGGAGAAUGUGAGGUGGUUUGUUAUGGGUGAUGAUGAUACUGUCUUUGUUACUGAUAAUUUAGUAAGGAUUUUG
rnacentral:misc_RNA from 1 species